rnacentral:rRNA from 1 species
GGGUUGUGAGGUUAAGCGACUAAGCGUACACGGUGGAUGCCCUGGCAGUCAGAGGCGAUGAAGGGCGUGCUAAUCUGCGAUAAGCGCCGGUAAGGUGAUAUGAACCGUUAUAACCGGCGAUACCCGAAUGGGGAAACCCAGUGUGAUUCGUCACACUAUCAUUAACUGAAUCCAUAGGUUAAUGAGGCGAACCGGGGGAACUGAAACAUCUAAGUACCCCGAGGAAAAGAAAUCAACCGAGAUUCCCCCAGUAGCGGCGAGCGAACGGGGAGGAGCCCAGAGCCUGAAUCAGCAUGUGUGUUAGUGGAAGCGUCUGGAAAGGCGCGCGAUACAGGGUGACAGCCCCGUACACAAAAGCGCAUGUGCUGUGAGCUCGAUGAGUAGGGCGGGACACGUGGUAUCCUGUCUGAAUAUGGGGGGACCAUCCUCCAAGGCUAAAUACUCCUGACUGACCGAUAGUGAACCAGUACCGUGAGGGAAAGGCGAAAAGAACCCCGGCGAGGGGAGUGAAAAAGAACCUGAAACCGUGUACGUACAAGCAGUGGGAGCCCCACCACCAAAGCAUUCUCUGGUGUUGAAGGCCCUGCAAAGCAGCAUCGCGGUGGCGGAGCGUCGUUUGCGACGCCCAACACACAAAACAAGCGGUGAGUGCUUUGGGGUGGGGUGACUGCGUACCUUUUGUAUAAUGGGUCAGCGACUUAUAUUCUGUAGCAAGGUUAACCGAAUAGGGGAGCCGGAGGGAAACCGAGUCUUAAUUGGGCGUUAAGUUGCAGGGUAUAGACCCGAAACCCGGUGAUCUAGCCAUGGGCAGGUUGAAGGUUGGGUAACACUAACUGGAGGACCGAACCGACUAAUGUUGAAAAAUUAGCGGAUGACCUGUGGCUGGGGGUGAAAGGCCAAUCAAACCGGGAGAUAGCUGGUUCUCCCCGAAAGCUAUUUAGGUAGCGCCUCGUGAAUUCAUCUCCGGGGGUAGAGCACUGUUUCGGCUAGGGGGCCAUCCCGGCUUACCAACCCGAUGCAAACUGCGAAUACCGGAGAAUGUUAUCACGGGAGACACACGGCGGGUGCUAACGUCCGUCGUGAAGAGGGAAACAACCCAGACCGCCAGCUAAGGUCCCAAAGUCAUGGUUAAGUGGGAAACGAUGUGGGAAGGCCCAGACAGCCAGGAUGUUGGCUUAGAAGCAGCCAUCAUUUAAAGAAAGCGUAAUAGCUCACUGGUCGAGUCGGCCUGCGCGGAAGAUGUAACGGGGCUAAACCAU